AUUUUUCUUUGACUUUUUUACACGCAGGCUCAAAUGCCGAAGUCAGGGAAUCUUUUCAUUAGCUUUGGCCUGAGACGCACGCCGAAAUAAAUGCACCUUUUUCUCUUUUUUCACUGUAAUGUGUGUUAAAUAUUUCAGAGAUUUCCAGAUCCUUUCACAGAGCGCGAGAGAGGAGGGUGGCGGUGGAGGAAUGAGGAGCGGCGCGUCAAACAAGAAAAGAAAAUGCUGAGGCGAGAGGUUGAUGUGCUCCACUGAAUAUUUUUCUCAUUGUGUUAUCAGAAAGCAGAUAAUGUGUCGGUGUGUUUGGCUGUCAGCGAAGCCACGGAGCUGCGUGUUCGGGCCUCCCGAAGGCAGAUUACACUGAAGGAAACAGCGCUCUGACACCGGCAGCCGCUUUGGGUCAAAGGAAGGAAACAUCUGAUGACGCCGUUUGUGAGCUGGGACUUUGGAAGAGAAGCUGGAAGCUCCUGGAUAUCAGCCAUCAGGCCGGCUCUCGGUGCAGCGCUGGAUUAUUCACACAUUCGACCUCCAACCCAGAACAACAACAAACAGCUCAGCACUCGGCGCUCACUCCGCCCGGCGCUCGGCAGAUUGGACGAUUACGGGUCAUGACACUGAAGGUUCGGCAGCAACGUUCAUCUCCCAUCUCCUCUGAGAAUUACUUUUUAUCACAUAGUAAAGAGCAUGGAGUGACCUGAGUGCCUGAAAGCAGAGAAAAAUAACACCUACGGGGUAAAACUGAAGGUUUCUUUAUAUUUACUGUGAAAGAUUAUGUGUCUUUUCAUUCUGAAUGUGAAUGACUGAGAAACGUGGCCUGUAUGUGUUGUAUAAAAAUGUUUCAGUGUAUUAGUCUGAGCUCACGUAGCGAAUCACUGUCUUCUAAAGAGGUCGCAUAAAAGUAAGUUCCUCUAUUACUUAAUGACCAAAAUGUCCAGUUUACAGGAGUUUAAAGGUUAAAUGAGGAGUGGAUAAUGAAGAAAGGGGUGAAGAGGGGAAGUGGGUGCGUGUGCCGGUCGCCUGAUUAGGUGGGUGGCGAAAAAGAGGAGACCAUCUCACCUCAUGUUUUUGCCACAGUUGAAUUUGAAAAGUGUCUAAAAAGAAGGAAGAAAGGAUGAGAAAGAUAUUAUCUAGGUCCCCGUAAUGCCGCCAAAAUACCUCCACCUCAUUGUCAGUCCUUCAGUCCCAGCUGGUCAAAUAUGCUGGUUCCACAUAAGAGGGACCUGAAAGCUGAAGGCUCUGCCUCACAUUCUAUUUUGAAAUACUCUAUGAACAACAAGUAAGCCUGCAGUCUGAUAGUGAAGUGCUCUAAUGGGGCGAUAUGGUACAUAUGGUACA